rnacentral:rRNA from 1 species
AACGAACGCUGGCGGCGUGGAUAAUACAUGCAAGUCGAACGGGACAGUCUUGAAGCAAUAUGAGACUGUUCAGUGGCGAACGGGUGCGUAACACGUGGGUCACAUUCCGGGAAGUGAGAAAUAGCCCAGGGAAACUUGGAUUAAUAUCUCAUGUGGUCGCAAGACUAAAGGCGCAAGCCGCUUCCUGAUUGGCCCGCGGCCUAUCAGCUUGUUGGUGAGGUAAUGGCUCACCAAGGCAACGACGGGUAGCUGGUCUGAGAGGACGACCAGCCACACUGGAACUGAGACACGGUCCAGACACCUACGGGUGGCAGCAGUCGAGAAUCUUUUCACAAUGGGCGAAAGCCUGAUGGGAGCGACGCCGCGUGGAGGUUAAGGUCUUCGGGAUUGUAAACUCCUGUCAUGCGAGAACAAAGCCCGCAAGGGUCUGAUAGUAUCGCAAAGAGGAAAGAGACGGGCUAAACUCUGUGCCAGCAG